GACGAACGCUGGCGGCGUGCUUAACACAUGCAAGUCGAACGAAGUGGCGAACGGGUGAGUAAUCCGUGGGUAACCUGCCCUCCUUUUUGGGAUAAGCCUUGGAAACGGGGUCUAAUACCGAAUAAAGGGGGAUGGGCUCGCGGCCUAUCAGCUUGUUGGUGGGGUGAUGGCCUACAAAGGCGGUGACGGGUAGCCGGCCUGAGAGGGUGACCGGACACAUUGGGACUGAGAAACGGGCCAGCUUCAGACGGUAGGCAGCAGUGGGGAAUAUUGCACAAUGGGCGCAAGCUGGAUGCAGCCAUGCCGCGGGGAUGAAGAAGGCCGUAGGGUUGUAAAGUAAUUGCAGCGGGGAGACGUUACCAGCAGAAGAAGCACCGGCUAACUCCGUGCCAGCAGACGCGGUAAUUC
rnacentral:rRNA from 1 species